rnacentral:lncRNA from 1 species
CAUUAAUGCUGAUGAGAGAGUUCUUUGGGGUUGGGAAAUUGUAAGCGCUUCCAGGGUAGUGAUUUCCUCCAACCUAAAUUUUACACAUGUGCACACAGAACACUUAGCAGCCGGCCUCUUCCUCACCCCUAUCCUGUUUUUCCGGAGGACUCUGAGGUAGAGGGGAGGGGCUGUGGAGGCGCACAGAAGCCUCCCUACCCAAAAAUCCAUCAUUCUCCGACGUAAUUUGGCGCUCGGGGAAAGGGCCUGGGCGGUGCAUGGAGAGCCAGCUGCGUGGCCCUGGGCAAGUCACUUAGGCCCCGUGGCCUACUCUUAACCGCUCCUCUGCCUAGAAACCAACACGCAGUAUUGAUUCUGAGAUAGAAGGUAACAGAAGAAUCAGUCCUUCCCGGAAUGAAAGACCCUGAAGCCAUUUCACAGAUAUUCCGUGGUAGAAAGACCCGCUAAAAAGCAAGCAGCCACUGGCUCCACCCAGGGCCCAGCCAAUAUAAAGAAAGGGAGAGCAUAUCCCUGCCCUAAAGCUUCUAAGUGGGGCCGGAGGCUUGAUGCCAGGAGCAAAGGACCCAUAGCUAGGGGUCAGAGCAGUCUGCAGAGCACACAGCAGCCAGGUGAAGCAAAGAUGGUCCCUGCAGUUCCUGUGUCUCCUGCUUUCUAGAAGCUGACUGAAAAAGAGCCAACAAAAUCCCAAGUGGAAUGGGGCCCUAAGGUGCCCUUCCCGAACCCCAGGGGUUCACCUCAAGCCCCCCACACCAGAAGGAGCUCACGACGUUCCCUCACACUGUCAUGGGAAAAGCGUCGCAUUCCGAGGAGGAAUUAGAAACCCACAAGAGAGAGCUUGCCUGGGAAGGACCGCAGAGCUGUUCCUACCAAGCAUGCGGAAGCAAGAAUCAGAGCCUUCCAUGCAAGGUCCCUGCAGGUGUGUGAAGACAGCCAUCGCGGCCCCCAAAGUUGUCUCAUCUUGCAUUUCUUCAACCAAUCAGUAUUCAUGAUUUCAACCUUCUCCGCAUUGGUUGCCCUUCUCUGGCCACUCUAGAGCUUAUCAGCGUCUUCCACGAAAUGCAGCUCCCGGAAUGGAACACAACACUACAUUGGCGGUAGACUAGGGCCGGCCACACCUGGAACUGUCAGCCCCUAACCCCGGACCCUGGGCCUCUCACUGCCGCAAAAGAAGGUGGUGUUUGCUCUUCCCUUGCUGUUUUAACUUUACUAAACUCCUUGAGCUUUUCGGAUAACUGCUGUCGAAUCCCUUAUCUUGACUUAGGAAGCUGAUUUUUUAAACCAAAACAGAAAACCAUAUUUUUAAAAAUUCAAUUUUAUUUUAUCUUCGGGUCUGAAUUCUCUCUUCCCCAGUUCUUCCUCAUCCUUACCCCCCUCCCCCACCCCACUGAGAAAGUUUUGGGGUUUUUUUAAGUUACAAAUACAUACAGUUAAGCAAAACAAAACCUUGCCUUGGUCCUGUUAAUAAUAAUAAAAAGGACAAUAAGACUCA